AGUGAACGCUGGCGGUAGGCCUAACACAUGCAAGUCGAACGGCAGCACAGUAAGAGCUUGCUCUUACGGGUGGCGAGUGGCGGACGGGUGAGGUAUACAUCGGAAUCUACUUUUUCGUGGGGGAUAACGUAGGGAAACUUACGCUAAUACCGCAUACGACCUACGGGUGAAAGCAGGGGAUCUUCGGACCUUGCGCGGUUGAAUGAGCCGAUGUCGGAUUAGGUAGUUGGCGGGGUAAAGGCCCACCAAGGCGACGAUCCGUAGCUGGUCUGAGAGGAUGAGCAGGCACGAUGGAGCGAAGACACAGACCGGGACUCAGAGAGAGGCAGCAGUGCUGAGUAAUGGACAAGGGGCGAAAGCCGGAUACAGCCAUACCGCGUGAGUGAAGAAGGCCUUCGGGGUGAAAAGGCCUUUUGUGGGGAAAGAAAAGCAGCACGUUAAUAAACCGCUGUUCUGACGAAACGCAAAGAAUGAACACCGGAAAACUGCG
rnacentral:rRNA from 1 species